AUUUUAUCACCCACCACAAUUUGAGCUUGAACUCUCAUUCUGCCUGAGUUCUGGAAUUCCUUUCAGAUGCUAUCUCUAAGAGUAAAAAGAACUUAGUCGUACAGGAUUCUUUUUUGUUUCGAUUUCUCCGUGUCUGCUUUGGUCCAAAGCAGAGAAUCUCAGCUGCACGAAAUCUCUAAGAUUAGUCAUGUAUACAAACAUGAAGACAGAGAGCCACCGAUGUUUGUCUUGGAAUGAGGCACUAUGGGUAUAAACAGGGGUCUACCCAAUCUGUCUCGGCGUCUUGGUGAGCCAAGAAAAGCAAAAGCCUUGGGUUCCCAAGGGCAGAAUUUCUCUUCCAUGUAGUUCAGCUUCAGGCGCAUCGGGACCUUGCACCCCUGCUCAGGCCACCAUGUCACUGCCCCAGCAGUGAGUAUCCAAGUAAUUAUGGCAGCUAAUGAGAUUUGCUCCUGGAAAACUCACCAGAGCCGUAAUUCAUCGGCUGCUUUUGAGUCACUACAGCUGAAGCAGGGAGGAGCUAUAAGAAAUCAUUUUGUCACCUGCUUUAGACAGCUGAAAACCCACCCAACAAGGACCGCACUGAUCUCAGGCAAAUGAGUGGGAGACAAAAGUACCCAGAACCCUACAUCAAACACUGGAUCUCUCUACACAGCCCUGGCUGUCCUGGAACUCACUAAGUAGACCAUGUUGGUCUCGAACUCACAGAGAUCUACAAGUCUCUGCCUCCAGAGUGCUGGAAUUGAAGGUAUUUUCUGAUCCUGGCUGAGAUGUUAUAAUGGAACACCUUUAAGACCAGGUAGAG
rnacentral:lncRNA from 1 species